AACGAACGCUGGCGGCAUGCCUAACACAUGCAAGUCGAACGAGACCUUCGGGUCUAGUGGCGCACGGGUGCGUAACGCGUGGGAACCUGCCCUUAGGUUCGGAAUAACUCCCCGAAAGGGGUGCUAAUACCGGAUAAUGCCUUCGGACCAAAGAUUUAUCGCCUUUGGAUGGGCCCGCGUUGGAUUAGCUAGUUGGUAGGGUAAAAGCCUACCAAGGCGACGAUCCAUAGCUGGUCUGAGAGGAUGAUCAGCCACACUGGGACUGAGACACGGCCCAGACUCCUACGGGAGGCAGCAGUGGGGAAUAUUGGACAAUGGGCGAAAGCCUGAUCCAGCUAUGCCGCGUGAGUGAUGAAGGCCUUAGGGUUGUAAAGCUCUUUUACCCGGGAUGAUAAUGACAGUACCGGGAGAAUAAGCUCCGGCUAACUCCGUG
rnacentral:rRNA from 1 species